UACGUAGGUCCCGAGCGUUGUCCGGAUUUAUUGGGCGUAAAGCGAGCGCAGGUGGUUUAUUAAGUCUGGUGUAAAAGGCAGUGGCUCAACCAUUGUAUGCAUUGGAAACUGGUAGACUUGAGUGCCGGAGAGGUAAGCGGAAUUCCUAGUGUAGCGGUGAAAUGCGUAGAUAUAUGGAGGAACACCGGUGGCGAAAGCGGCUCUCUGGCCUGUAACUGACACUGAGGCUCGAAAGCGUGGGGAGCAAACAGG
rnacentral:rRNA from 1 species